CCUACGGGGGGCAGCAGUGAGGAAUAUUGGUCAAUGGACGAGAGUCUGAACCAGCCAAGUAGCGUGAAGGAUGACUGCCCUAUGGGUUGUAAACUUCUUUUAUAUGGGAAUAAAACAGGGUAUGCAUACCCUCUUGUAUGUACCACAUGAAUAAGGAUCGGGUAAAUCCGUGCCAGCAGCCGGGGUAAUACGGAGGAUCGGAGCGUUAUCCGGAUUUAUUGGGUUUAAAGGGAGCUUAGGUGGGUUGGUAAGUCAGUUGUGAAAGUUUGCGGCUCAACCGUAAAAUUGCAGUUGAAACUGGCAGUCUUGAGUACACUAGAGGCGUGCGGAAUGCGUGGUGUAGCGGUGAAAUGCUUAGAUAUCACGAAGAACUCCGAUUGCGAAGGCAGCUCACUGGACUGCAACUGACACUGAUGCUCGAAAGUGUGGGUAUCAAACAGGAUUAGAUACCCCGGUAGUC
rnacentral:rRNA from 1 species